AGCUGGCGGUCACCAUGGCAGUGCGGGAGCUGGUGGAGGCCGAAUGCGGGGGUGCCAACCCGCUCAUGAAGCUAGCCGGGCACUUCACCCAGGACAAGGCCCUUCGGCAGGAGGGAUUGAGGCCUGGCCCCUGGCCCCCCGGAGCCCCAGCCUCUGAUGCAGCCUCCAAGCCUUUGGGAGUAGCUUCUGAAGAUGAGUUGGUGGCUGAAUUCCUGCAGGACCAGAAUGCACCCCUUGUGUCCCGUGCCCCUCAGACCUUCAAGAUGGAUGACCUCCUGGCUGAGAUGCAGCAGAUUGAGCAGUCAAACUUCCGCCAGGCUCCCCAGAGAGCCCCAGGUGUGGCAGACUUGGCCUUGUCUGAGAACUGGGCCCAGGAGUUUCUUGCAGCUGGAGAUGCUGUGGAUGUAAUUCAGGAUUAUAAUGAGACUGACUGGUCCCAAGAAUUCAUCUCUGAAGUUACAGACCCCUUGUCUGUGUCCCCCGCCCGCUGGGCUGAGGAAUAUUUGGAGCAAUCAGAGGAGAAACUGUGGCUGGGAGAACCUGAAGGAACAGCCACCGAUCGCUGGUAUGAUGAAUAUCAUCCUGAGGAAGAUCUGCAGCACACGGCCAGUGACUUUGUGGCCAAAGUGGAUGACCCCAAAUUGGCUAAUUCUGAGUUCCUGAAAUUCGUGCGGCAGAUUGGCGAAGGGCAGGUGUCCCUGGAGUCCGGUGCAGGGUCGGGCCGAGCUCAGGCAGAACAGUGGGCAGCGGAGUUUAUACAGCAGCAGGGUACAUCAGAUGCCUGGGUUGACCAGUUCACAAGACCAGUAAAUACAUCUGCCCUUGAUACGGAGUUUGAACAAGCCAAGUCAGCUAUAGAGUCUGAUGUCGAUUUCUGGGACAAGUUGCAGGCAGAGUUGGAGGAGAUGGCAAAACGGGAUGCUGAGGCUCACCCCUGGCUUUCUGACUAUGAUGACCUUACGUCAGCUACCUAUGAUAAGGGGUACCAGUUUGAGGAGGAGAACCCCUUGCGUGAUCACCCUCAGCCUUUUGAAGAAGGGCUGCGGCGCCUUCAGGAGGGGGACCUGCCAAAUGCUGUGCUGCUUUUUGAGGCAGCUGUGCAGCAGGAUCCUAAGCACAUGGAAGCUUGGCAGUAUCUGGGUACCACCCAGGCAGAGAAUGAACAAGAACUAUUAGCCAUCAGUGCAUUGCGGAGGUGUCUGGAGCUAAAGCCAGAUAACCAAACAGCACUGAUGGCUCUGGCUGUGAGCUUCACCAACGAGUCCCUGCAGCGACAGGCCUGUGAAACCCUACGAGACUGGCUGCGGUACACACCAGCCUAUGCCCAUCUGGUGACACCUGCUGAAGAAGGGGCUGGUGGGGCAGGACUGGGCCCCAGCAAGCGUAUCCUGGGGUCUCUCUUGUCUGACUCCCUGUUUCUUGAAGUGAAAGAGCUCUUCCUGGCAGCUGUGCGGCUGGACCCUACCUCUAUUGAUCCUGAUGUGCAGUGUGGCUUGGGAGUCCUUUUCAACCUGAGUGGGGAGUAUGACAAGGCCGUGGACUGCUUCACAGCUGCCCUCAGCGUUCGUCCCAAUGACUAUUUGCUGUGGAAUAAGCUAGGGGCCACCCUGGCCAAUGGAAACCAGAGUGAAGAAGCAGUAGCUGCGUACCGCCGGGCCCUCGAGCUCCAGCCUGGCUAUAUCCGGUCCCGCUAUAACCUGGGCAUCAGCUGCAUCAACCUUGGGGCUCACCGGGAGGCUGUGGAGCACUUUCUGGAGGCCCUGAACAUGCAGAGGAAAAGCCGGGGCCCCCGGGGUGAAGGAGGCGCCAUGUCGGAGAACAUCUGGAGCACCCUGCGUUUGGCAUUGUCUAUGUUAGGCCAGAGCGAUGCCUAUGGGGCAGCUGACGCACGGGAUCUGUCCACCCUCCUAACUAUGUUUGGCCUGCCCCAGUGACAGUGGGACGGGCUGCCCUGCUAGAGUACAAUGGCAUGAUCUCAGCUCACUGCAGCCUCCGCCUCCUGGGUUCAAGCGAUUCUCCUGCCUCAGCUUCCUAAGUAGAUGGGAUUACAGGUAUGUGCCACCACACCCGGCUAAUUUUGUAUUUUUAGUAGAGACAGGGUUUCAUCAUGUUGGUCAGGCUGGUCUCAAAUGCCCGACCUCAGGCAGUCCACCCACCUCGGCCUCCCAAAGUGCUGGGAUUACAGACGUGAGCCACCGUGCCCGGCCAAAAAAAGUCUAACUUUUAAAUUUAUUUAAAAAGUUUUUUGAAUAGAGACUAGAUCUCACUAUGUUGACCAGGCUGGUCUUGAACUCCUGGCCUCAAGGAAUCCUCCUGCCUCAGCCUCCCAAAGUUCUGGGAUCACAGGGAGGAGCACCAUACCUGGCCAAAGUCUAAUUUUUUUUUUCUGGUGGGCUCAAAAGCUGCCAAAAAAAAAAAAAAAAAAAAAACCCAAAAACAAAAAAAACAGGUCUAAAAGACUACUGGGUAAGUAAAUUGUCCAGACAGUGAAAUAUAGCUAUUGCUAUUUAAUCAUUUAUGGAAUAAUUUCCAGUGACAAUAGAUGCUAACAAUACAGUGAGAAAAAUGGUUAGUCAAUUAUUUACAGAUUGUCUUAAGAAAAAAAUGCAUUGAAAAGACAAUAGGGAACUAUCCCAAUGUGCUAAAGGUGGGGAGAUCAUACUUCUCUAUAAUCCUCAAAUUUUCUUGCUGCAUGUGUGAUACUUUUCUAGAGGAGAAAAUUAAACAUCUGGGGGAGGGAAACAGGAAGCUGUGGUGGCACCUGUCACCACCUGGGUGAUCAUGAGGCAGCUAGUGUCUUGGGCUCUGCAGGUUGGUGGUGCAAAGACCCAGGCAGGAAGUGGGCUGGGCAGGUGGAGGAGCAGUUUCCACACUACGUAGGUGCAGGACAUGACAAAGUCUGGCUGUGUAAAUGACUUAAGAAUUAAGCUAAUACUUGGUUUAAGCCGAGUCUGCAGGUUUGCUUCACCUGAUUUUGGUAGCAUUAAUGUGUCCAAGAGGAUGGUUUUCUUGCAUGGCUUGUGCCAGGUACCUCUUUUGAACCCAAAUAAAAUUCAGCCAACAUUUGCUGACCCCCCUACCAUGUGCCAAGCACCAGUUCUAGGCACCAGGGCUACAAUUCACAAAGCAGAUGAGAUCCCUCCUCUUGGAGCUAACAUACUUGUUAGAGAAGAGACAGUACACAAGUAAGUAAGACAAUUUCAGUUAUAAGUGCUCUGAAGAAAUAAAAAUGUCACUAUGUACUAGAGAGUGAAGGGGAGGGUUAGUGGUGGCAACAUUAGGGUGGUGAGGAAAGGCCUUUCACAUGAGGUUAUCCACGUGAUUGGUAGGAGCCAGCCCUGGAGAGUUUCGGUGGAAGAGCAGUCCAGGUCCUGGGAGCAAAGGCUCUGAUCUGAGGCUAGAAGAGCUGUACAUUCCAACAGAAAGGGCAGGAGCUGGAGGAGACCUGAACACUCACCCACCCCACUCUCCCUCCCGCUCACAGCCAAGCUGCUUCAGUGAGUGGGCUGUGCACACUGCCUCCACUCAAGGCCAUUUCAUUCACGUCUUCUCCUACAGUACUGUUCCCUGCACUCACCAAUGCAACUGCUUUGCCACGGUCACCUGACUUCACAGAUUGCCAAAGCAAAUGGACACAUUUAUUUAUGAUCUUGACCAUACCGUGAGCUCUGCCACACGUGGUUAGGCAGGUCGUGUACUGCAUAUUACUAUGCCAUUAAUAUCCAUAUGAUGAUCUGUAGUGUUGCGCAGUUCACAGUCUAUACGGCUGUACUCUGGCUCCGCAUUGAUGACCACCCUUCUUUAAGUCUUCUCCCCUGCUUCUGUUAUUUCUUUUCUCAUGGUUCUACUUCUUCUCAGUCUUCCUUACGUGUCUCUAUCUGCUGCUUAAUGUUGAUCUUCCUCAGGGCUGUUCUUGCCUUGCUUUCCUUGCUUUGCAGGAUCCUGUGGUGCCUUCAUCCACACCUGUGGCGUAACUACCAUGUAAAUGUUGAUGACAGUCUAACCUAGAUCUCACCCCAGGCCUUAGAUACAUGGUACAGUUACUAUGUUCUGCCUUCUCCUCUUGGAUGUUCCCUAGGUACCUUAAAGUCAACAAAUUCGAAACAGGAAUUUCCUUCCAAAAAUCUGCUCCUUGUUUUGUAGACCUGGAGACACAUGAGGAGAAAGCGGUUGUUUCCACUGUUUGCUGUAAAGAACAAAUUGAGAAUAUUCAUGUAAUUGUCUCCUAGUGCACAUAUGCAAGAAUUUUGAGAUAUAUACCAAGGAGUAGAAUUGUUGAGUCGGGUGCAUACCCAUUGUUAGGUAUAUGCCAACGGGUAGAAUUCUUGUGAAUAAUUUAGGGCUGGAGUAUACUCGACUUGCUGCACACUCCCUGCGUCGGGUUCCCGUGAUUCUCCUGCCUCGGCCUGCGGGCUGCCUGGGAUUGCGGGCGCGCACCACCACCCCUGCCUGCUUUUUGUCCUUUGGCUAGAGGUGCGGUUUCGCCAUGUUGGCCACGCUGCUCUCCAGCUCCUAACCUCGAGUGCUCUGCCCGCCUCGGCCUCCCGAGGUGCUGGGACUGCAGACAGAGUCUCGCUCAAUCGGUGCACCGUGUUGCCCGGGCUGGACUGCGAUGGCGUGGUCUUGGCUCGCUGCAGCCUCUGCCUCCCAGCCGCCUGCCUUGGCCUCCCAGGGUGCUGGGAUUGCAGCCUCUGCCUGGCCGCUGCUCCCUCUGGGAGGUGGGGAGCGUCUCUGCCUGGCCGCCAAUCCUCUGAGAUGUGAGGAGCGCCUCGCCCGGCCGCCCCGUCGGGGAGUUGCGGAGUGCCUCUGCCCAGCCGCCACCCCGUCUAGGUAGGAAGUGAGGACAUUCUCUGGCCGCCCAGCGUCCGGGAGGUGAGGAGCGACUGCCCGGCCGCCCCGUCUGGGAAGUGAGGAGUGCCUGUGCCCCGCCGCCCCGUCUGGGAUGUGAGGAGCGCGUCUGCCCGGCCACCCCGUCUGGGAUGUGAGGAGCGCCUCUGCCCGGCCGCCCCGUCUGGGAAGUGAGGAGCGUAUGUGCCCGGCCGCCCAUCGUCUGGGAAGUGAGGAGCGCCUCUGCCCGGCCGCCCAUCGUCUGGGAUGUGAGGAGCGCCUCUGCCCGGCCGCCCCGUCUGGGAGUUGAGGAGUGCCGCUGCCUGGCCGCCCCGUCUGAGAGGUGAGGAGGGCCUCUGCCCGGCCGCCCCGUCUGGGAAGAAGUGAGGAGCGCCUCUGCCCGGGUGCCCCGUCUGGGAAGAAGUGAGGAGCGCCUCUGCCCGGCCGCCCCGUCUGGGAAGUGAGGAGCGCCUCUGCCCAGCCGCCCCGUCUGGGAAGUGGGGAGCGCCUCUGCCCGGCCGCCCCGUCUGGGAGGUCUACCAUGGAGGCCAGAGGUAAUGUGGAGGCUGGACGUGGUGGCUCACGCCUGUAGUCCCAGCACUCUAGGAGGCCGAGGUGGGUUGAUCACUUGAGGCUUAGAGUUCGAGACCAGCCUGGCCAACAUGGCGAAACAUAUGAAAAAUACAACAGACCAACCAACCAACCCAGCAACAACAAAACAGGUCUACCCUGGAGUCAUACUCUAAUUUUUCUAUUUUCCUCCCUUUCUGAUCCUUUAUCCCACUUUCUUUUUCUCUCUCUUCCUUCUUCUUCUUUGUCAAAUGGAGGAUUGAGUUAUUAUCAUUGAUCCAAAAUUUGCAGUCACUAAGGCUAAGGUUAAGAAAACCAUUUUAUAAAUGGACAAUGGACAUGAACAGACACUUUUCAAAAUAAGACAUUCAUUUGGUCAACAAAUAUAUGAAAAAAUGCUCAACAUUACUAAUGCAAUUCAAAUCAAAACCACAAUGAGAUACCAUCUCACAGUACUCAGAAUGGCUAUUAUUAAAAAGUCAAAAAAGUAACAUGUUAGGUUGCAGAGUGAAGGGGACUUAAGUGGGAGUGUAAAUUAGUUCAGCCACUGUGGGAAGCAGUUUGGAAAUUUCUCAAAGAACUUAGAACUACCAUUUGACCAAGUAGUCCCAUUACAGGGUAUAUGCCCAAAGGAAAAUAAAUCACUCUACCCAAAAGACACAUGCACUCAUAUGUUCAUUGCAGCAGUAUUCAUGAUAGCAAUGAUGUGAAAUCAACCUGGAUGCCCGUUAAUGGUGGACCGGAUAAAGAAAAUGUGAUACAUAUACAAUAUAGAAUACUAUGCAUCCAUGAAAAAGAACAAAAUCACAUCCUUUGCAGCAACAUGGUUGCAGCUGGAGGCCAUUAUCCUAAACAAAUUAACACAGGAACAGAAAACCAAAUACCACAGAUUCUCACUUAUAAGUGAGAGCUAAACAUUUAGUACACAUGAACAUAAAGAUAGGAACAGCAGACACUGCAAACUACCAGAGAGGUGGAGGGGGAUGAAGGUUGAAAAACUACUGGGUACUAUGCUCACUCUUCUGGGUGACAUGAUAAGUGUCUUUGGUGUACCUUUUGUUAAUAAAUUAUUACUUUAUACACACUAA